CACAUGCAAGUCGAGGGGCAGCAUCGCGAUAGCUUGCUAUUGCGGAUGGCGACCGGCGCACGGGUGAGUAACGCGUAUCCAACCUUCCCGCAACUGGGGAAUAACCUUGCGAAAGUAAGACUAAUACCCCAUGGUCUCCACGGAUGGCAUCUGAAGUGGAGUAAAGGUUCCGGCCGGUUGCGGAUGGGGAUGCGUCCGAUUAGCUUGACGGCGGGGUAACGGCCCACCGUGGCAUCGAUCGGUAGGGGUUCUGAGAGGAAGGUCCCCCACAUUGGAACUGAGACACGGUCCAAACUCCUACGGGAGGCAGCAGUGAGGAAUAUUGGUCAAUGGGCGGAAGCCUGAACCAGCCAAGUAGCGUGAAGGACGACUGCCCUACGGGUUGUAAACUUCUUUUAUGCGGGGAUAAAGUUCGCCACGUGUGGCGUUUUGCAGGUACCGCAUGAAUAAGGACCGGCUAAUUCCGUGCCAGCAGCCGCGGUAAUACGGAAGGUCCAGGCGUUAUCCGGAUUCAUUGGGUUUAAAGGGAGCGUAGGCCGCCUUUUAAGCGUGUUGUGAAAUGUAGGGGCUCAACCCCUGCACUGCAGCGCGAACUGGAGGGCUUGAGUACACACAAAGUAGGCGGAAUUCAUGGUGUAGCGGUGAAAUGCUUAGAUAUCAUGAAGAACCCC
rnacentral:rRNA from 1 species